AUUGAACGCUGGCGGCAGGCCUAACACAUGCAAGUCGAGCGAGCGGCGGACGGGUGAGUAAUGUCUGGGUAACUGCCUUCUGGAGGGGGGUAACUACUGGAAACGGUAGCUAAUACCGCAUAUUAUUUGAUUUUCCCAGAUGGGAUUAGCUAGUUGGUGGGGUAAUGGCUCACCUAGGCGACGAUCCCUAGCUGGUCUGAGAGGAUGACCAGCCACACUGGAACUGAGACACGGUCCAGACUCCUACGGGAGGCAGCAGUGGGGAAUAUUGCACAAUGGGCGCAAGCCUGAUGCAGCCAUGCCGCGUGUGUGAAGAAGGCCUUCGGGUUGUAAAGCACUUUCAGCGGGGAGGCGUUACCCGAAGAAGAAGCACCGGCUAACUCCGUGCCAGCAGCCGCGGUAAUUC
rnacentral:rRNA from 1 species